ACGAGUUACCCUCACUUGGAGCAGAAAUUGUAACAGAUUCUGUUGCAGAGGAGAAAACUUUGCCCACUUGUUCAGAAGUCUCGGAGGCAGCAGCAUUUUUAUCAGGCGAAGGAACAGAUUUGACUCUAUAUGCUACAGUUUUUGUGAUCCUCCGCCCAUACUUGGCUGGCUGAGAAGGAAGUGCACCUUGUUGGUCUGCAUAAGUUCCCUGAGAGAUAGG
rnacentral:lncRNA from 1 species